GAUGAACGCUGGCGGCGUGCUUAACACAUGCAAGUCGAACGAUGAAGCCCAGCUUGCUGGGUGGAUUAGUGGCGAACGGGUGAGUAACACGUGAGUAACCUGCCCUUGACUCUGGGAUAAGCCUGGGAAACUGGGUCUAAUACCGGAUAGGAACGUCCACCGCAUGGUGGGUGUUGGAAAGAUUUAUCGGUCAUGGAUGGACUCGCGGCCUAUCAGCUUGUUGGUGAGGUAAUGGCUCACCAAGGCGACGACGGGUAGCCGGCCUGAGAGGGUGACCGGCCACACUGGGACUGAGACACGGCCCAGACUCCUACGGGAGGCAGCAGUGGGGAAUAUUGCACAAUGGGCGAAAGCCUGAUGCAGCGACGCCGCGUGAGGGAUGACGGCCUUCGGGUUGUAAACCUCUUUCAGUAGGGAAGAAGCGAAAGUGACGGUACCUGCAGAAGAAGCACCGGCUAACUACGU
rnacentral:rRNA from 1 species